UCAGCUCGGAGAUUCAGUUUUCGGUCACACAAGUAGAAGUAGAAGCAGUCAGCAGCAGCGAGCAAAGGAGAAAAAAUCAUACAUCAGCGAGUGAUACGUAAAUAACGUCGUGAAGGGAAAAAGUGGCGAUUGAAGAAAAGAAAAGAAAAAAAGUAGUUUUCUGGCGAAAAUUUCCACGCGAUUUUUCCGUUUCGGAAGGAAUAUUCCGGAUUGCGGCAGUGAAGAUUUUGCGUAGAAGGGGAAAAUCCAAGGAAAAACAGAAACCUAACACACGGGCGGUGGUGGAAUUGAAGGGGCGGCGGGAGAAGGGGACACAAGUUUCGACAUCGAUUCCGGAUCAAAAUAAAGAAGGAAGGGUCAUUCAUCGGAUUCAGUGCGGAAUGAUUCUUGUAUGCUAGAAAGUGAUUAAAAGAAUUAAUCGCAUUGCUAAUUGGGAAAGUGAUUAAGAGUUUCCCCAAGCAUAAGUGAGAACAGCGCUUAGGGAUCAUCAAGUGAAAGAAGUUCCUGUCUGAAAGAAGAAAAGUCAUCCAUUCAAGGAAUCCACGAUGGCCAAUCCGAGGAAGUUCAGCGAGAAGAUCGCCCUUCACAACCAGAAGCAGGCGGAGGAGACGGCCGAAUUCGAGCGGAUUAUGCGGGAAGUUUCGGAUGUCACGUCCAAGG